GAUGGCUUGGCCGAGUGGUCUAAGGCGUUGGACUUGAAUAAUAACGAAGGGGCUUUUUUAAGGACUUCUUCAUUCGAGACAUCCAAUGGGGUCUCCCCGCGCAGGUUCGAACCCUGCAGCCAUCG